UCUGGUUGGUCUGUUGCUUUAGUUGCUAAGUAAACAUAAUGUCAGUGAUUUCAUCACUAUUUCUAUUAAAAUAUCAGUUUUCUUCUUCAGGGCUUCUCACAUUUGCACCAUUUUUUUACCAAUUGAAUCAUAAAAAGAUAACAAACACAAGAACUUAACACUUUGUGAAUAUUUAAGGAAUGUAAGGGGUCAGAUUUCAGAUUGCUCAUUAUUUCUGGAACACUAAAUACUUUAUUUGAUUGUGUACACUGCACUUUCUUGUUAAGCAUUCAUCCAAAUCAUUUGGGUACAUUUUGGCAGAAAAACUGCUUUUGGAUUUAUACUGGUCAUCAAAACCGGCACUGACGAAACAUAAGACGUGUUUAAUUAAUGUGCGGGAAAGAGGUUUAAAGGUGUCGGCCGACAACGAAAGGCUUGCGGGUUGCAGUACCCCUUCAAGUAGUUCUUGAAAAAAAUGAUUCUCUCAGAUACACUGUGUUGUGUGUGGAUAAGAAAUGCAGAGUGGUACCACCAAUCACCUAAGCCACCAUUCCCCUUACAGACAAAAGGCUCAUGGGGACAGUUCCUGCAGUUUACAGCAAAGCUCUCAAUUGUAGCCCUACAAACUUCAGAUACUGCCCAUGGUGAAGCUUGGGUGCACUGGGCCGGUUAUCCAGCCGUGUGGAAUCAACAUCUCCAGCUGAACUUGGGCCGGGAAUUAUAUAAGAAUCCUUAACAGCAUG